rnacentral:rRNA from 1 species
UGAACGCUGGCGGCAUGCUUUACACAUGCAAGUCGAACGGUAACAGGCCGCAAGGUGCUGACGAGUGGCGAACGGGUGAGUAAUGCAUCGGCACGUGCCCAGUCGUGGGGGAUAACUACUCGAAAGAGUAGCUAAUACCGCAUACGAUCUAUGGAUGAAAGCGGGGGACCGUAAGGCCUCGCGCGAUUGGAGCGGCCGAUGUCAGAUUAGGUAGUUGGUGGGGUAAAGGCUCACCAAGCCAACGAUCUGUAGCUGGUCUGAGAGGACGACCAGCCACACUGGGACUGAGACACGGCCCAGACUCCUACGGGAGGCAGCAGUGGGGAAUGUUGGACAAUGGGCGCAAGCCUGAUCCAGCAAUGCCGCGUGCAGGAAGAAGGCCUUCGGGUUGUAAACUGCUUUUGUACGGAACGAAACGGCUCUGGUUAAUACCCGGGGCUAAUGACGGUACCGUAAGAAUAAGCACCGGCUAACUACGUG